rnacentral:rRNA from 1 species
GAUGAACGCUGGCGGCGUGCCUAAUACAUGCAAGUCGAGCGAACGGACGAGAAGCUUGCUUCUCUGAUGUUAGCGGCGGACGGGUGAGUAACACGUGGAUAACCUACCUAUAAGACUGGGAUAACUUCGGGAAACCGGAGCUAAUACCGGAUAAUAUUUUGAACCGCAUGGUUCAAAAGUGAAAGACGGUCUUGCUGUCACUUAUAGAUGGAUCCGCGCUGCAUUAGCUAGUUGGUAAGGUAACGGCUUACCAAGGCAACGAUGCAUAGCCGACCUGAGAGGGUGAUCGGCCACACUGGAACUGAGACACGGUCCAGACUCCUACGGGAGGCAGCAGUAGGGAAUCUUCCGCAAUGGGCGAAAGCCUGACGGAGCAACGCCGCGUGAGUGAUGAAGGUCUUCGGAUCGUAAAACUCUGUUAUUAGGGAAGAACAUAUGUGUAAGUAACUGUGCACAUCUUGACGGUACCUAAUCAGAAAGCCACGGCUAACUACGUGCCAGCAGCCGCGGUAAUACGUAGGUGGCAAGCGUUAUCCGGAAUUAUUGGGCGUAAAGCGCGCGUAGGCGGUUUUUUAAGUCUGAUGUGAAAGCCCACGGCUCAACCGUGGAGAGUCAUUGGAAACUGGAAAACUUGAGUGCAGAAGAGGAAAGUGGAAUUCCAUGUGUAGCGGUGAAAUGCGCAGAGAUAUGGAGGAACACCAGUGGCGAAGGCGACUUUCUGGUCUGUAACUGACGCUGAUGUGCGAAAGCGUGGGGAUCAAACAGGAUUAGAUACCCUGGUAGUCCACGCCGUAAACGAUGAGUGCUAAGUGUUAGGGGGUUUCCGCCCCUUAGUGCUGCAGCUAACGCAUUAAGCACUCCGCCUGGGGAGUACGACCGCAAGGUUGAAACUCAAAGGAAUUGACGGGGACCCGCACAAGCGGUGGAGCAUGUGGUUUAAUUCGAAGCAACGCGAAGAACCUUACCAAAUCUUGACAUCCUUUGACAACUCUAGAGAUAGAGCCUUCCCCUUCGGGGGACAAAGUGACAGGUGGUGCAUGGUUGUCGUCAGCUCGUGUCGUGAGAUGUUGGGUUAAGUCCCACAACGAGCGCAACCCUUAAGCUUAGUUGCCAUCAUUAAGUUGGGCACUCUAAGUUGACUGCCGGUGACAAACCGGAGGAAGGUGGGGAUGACGUCAAAUCAUCAUGCCCCUUAUGAUUUGGGCUACACACGUGCUACAAUGGACAAUACAAAGGGCAGCGAAACCGCGAGGUCAAGCAAAUCCCAUAAAGUUGUUCUCAGUUCGGAUUGUAGUCUGCAACUCGACUACAUGAAGCUGGAAUCGCUAGUAAUCGUAGAUCAGCAUGCUACGGUGAAUACGUUCCCGGGUCU